UGUGACGCAGUUUGUCUUCCUCAGGAAAGGGCUGGGACAGUGCGAAGGGUGAGAUCGUGGUGAAAGCGGAACCAGAGGAUGAAUCCUACAUCGGGUGUCCCCAGGGCCUUGAGGCCACUGGCACUGGUGUCCCCGGCACUGGCAUCAAGGCUGAAGUCAUUGGGAAAAGUGAGGAUGAAGAUGCGGCAUAUGGACUUUACAGCUGCAGCUCCCUGGGGCAGGAUGUGACCCCUCUGGACACGGCCUGCGAUGCCAAGCCCGAGGUCAUCAUGAAGGUGGAGCCGGAGGAGCUGCACAUCGAGUGUCCCACAGGAGCUCCCGGCCACUGCAGUGGCACAGGCAUCGGUGGCAAGCGGCAUCCCAAGGAGGAGCUGGAGGAGGUGAAACCAGGGUCAUCAGAGCCGGAGCAGAGCCUGGGGGCUGCUGGGGGGGGUUCCCUGGGGCCCCGGCCCCAUGUCAGCCAAUGGACAGUGCAGCAGGCGCAGGGUGCCGUGCCUGAUGUCCGGCACAGCCCAGCAGGAC